rnacentral:rRNA from 1 species
AUAGGCGAAGUCCUUCGGGACAUCCAGACAGGUGGUGCAUGGUUGUCGUCAGCUCGUGUCGUGAGAUGUUGGGUUAAGUCCCGCAACGAGCGCAACCCUUGUAUUCAGUUGCUACGCAAGAGCACUCUGGAUAGACUGCCGUUGACAAAACGGAGGAAGGUGGGGAUGACGUCAAAUCAUCAUGCCCCUUACGACCUGGGCCACACACGUACUACAAUGGCGCACAACAGAGGGAAGCAAGACAGCGAUGUGGAGCAAACCCCUAAAAUGCGUCCCAGUUCAGAUUGCAGGCUGCAACCCGCCUGCAUGAAGUCGGAAUUGCUAGUAAUCGCGGAUCAGCAUGCCGCGGUGAAUACGUUCCCGGGCCUUGUACACACCGCCCGUCACACCAUGGGAGCCGGUAACACCCGAAGUCAGUAGCCUGACCGCAAGGAGGGCGCUGCCGAAGGUGGGAUUGGUGACUGGGGUGAAGUCGUAACAAGGUAGCCGUAUCGGAAGGUGCGGUUGGAUC